rnacentral:rRNA from 1 species
AUAGGCGAAGCGUGCGAUUGGAUUGCACGUCUAAGCAGUAAGGCUGAGUAUUAGGCAAAUCCGGUACUCGUUAAGGCUGAGCUGUGAUGGGGAGAAGACAUUGUGUCUUCGAGUCGUUGAUUUCACACUGCCGAGAAAAGCCUCUAGAUAGAAAAUAGGUGCCCGUACCGCAAACCGACACAGGUAGUCAAGAUGAGAAUUCUAAGGUGAGCGAGCGAACUCUCGUUAAGGAACUCGGCAAAAUGACCCCGUAACUUCGGGAGAAGGGGUGCUCUUUAGGGUUAACGCCCAGAAGAGCCGCAGUGAAUAGGCCCAAGCGACUGUUUAUCAAAAACACAGGUCUCUGCUAAACCGUAAGGUGAUGUAUAGGGGCUGACGCCUGCCCGGUGCUGGAAGGUUAAGAGGAGUGGUUAGCUUCUGCGAAGCUACGAAUCGAAGCCCCAGUAAACGGCGGCCGUAACUAUAACGGUCCUAAGGUAGCGAAAUUCCUUGUCGGGUAAGUUCCGACCCGCACGAAAGGCGUAACGAUUUGGGCACUGUCUCAACGAGAGACUCGGUGAAAUCAUAGUACCUGUGAAGAUGCAGGUUACCCGCGACAGGACGGAAAGACCCCGUGGAGCUUUACUGUAGCCUGAUAUUGAAAUUCGGCACAGCUUGUACAGGAUAGGUAGGAGCCUUUGAAACGUGAGCGCUAGCUUACGUGGAGGCGCUGGUGGGAUACUACCCUAGCUGUGUUGGCUUUCUAACCCGCACCA